GUCCUUGCCCUAAACAAUGUAUACUUGGUGUAGUAAGGCUCAACCCUGACUGUACCGUAGCCAACGCGAUAAGUAUACCGCCUGGGGAGUACGCUCGCAAGUGUAAAACUCAAAAGAAUUGACGGGGACCCCGCACAAGCAGUUGAGUAUGUGGUUUAAUUCGAUGCAACGCGAAGAACCUUACCUGGGUUUGAAAUGCAACUGACCGCUUCAGAAAUGAAGUUUUCUCGCAAGAGACAGUUGCACAGGUGCUGCAUUGCUGUCGU
rnacentral:rRNA from 1 species